GCGAUCGGAAGAAGCAGAAGGCAGGCUCGACUAAAAGGAGAGCUGCAUAGCAGAGGGCGACCUGAAGGAGCACAUGAAGAUGGCAACUUGCAUGAAUUUGAUGGCGUGGUUGAUCACGAUGAUCGGGGCGGGAUUCAUGGAGGUCGACACGGUGGCGGCAGCGACAUACAUGGUCAGAGAUAGAUUGGGGUGGACCGUCCCCUCCAAUGUAUCCUAUUACCAGUCUUGGGCUGCCUCCAAGACUUUCAUGGUUGGCGACAAGCUAUCUUUCAAUUGGACGGGGACGCACAAUGUGACCGAAGUAUCAAAGGCCGAGUACGACAACUGCACCCAGGUCGUAUCCGUUCUGGGCAGUCCGGUGGAAAUCCAGCUUUCCGAUGUUCCGAUUCGAUUACCGGUACCGGAACCGAGGAAGCUAAGGUUUUUUUAUUCGUGACGAUGCUGGCGGUUGAAUUCGAUCCGUUGGCCUCAGGCGUGCUUGGAUUCUGGCUUUUUCUACGUGAUCAAUCACGGAAUCAGCCAGGAUUUAAUGGAGGAGGUCUUCGUCCAGAGCAGGUGGUUCUUUGGCUUGCCCUUGAGCGAGAAGAUGAAGCUGUUGGGGAACGAGAAGCACAGAGGCCGCACUCCUCUGUUGGAUGAGGUCCUCGAUGCUGGGAAUCAGAUUCAGAGUUUGUGUCAGAUGUAUUCAUUUGUUCCGUUUUUUGUUGUCAGAUUACUGAAGAUUUUGCUGCUUAUAGUGGAUUUAGAUGAACAGCUGAUGAUUUUGAUAGCUUCCUGUAAUCAGCUGGUGGCUGGUGGUUGAGUAGCAGCUCUUAGAAAAGGAAGAUGCAAUUAGUUAGUUAUUAUUCCUGGUUGUAAUUCUAUUCUGGGAGGAGCGAGGAUACUUCACCAGAGCUGACACAGAAAUAGGAGCGAGUUAUUUGAAGUGCUAACACAAAACCAUGAGCAAUACAACAAGGAUUUAGAUGAAACUUGUUAUUAUUUCUAUGGUUAUCAUUUUCUGAAGAUCAGUCGAGUAGCAAUGAUUCCGUGGACGUUUUAUAGGAGAUUAUAGGGAGGGAUACUACAUAGGAGCGGAAGUACCAGAGGAUGAUCCUGAUGCACAGAAGCCUCAUUUUGGACCAAACCUCUGGCCUUCUGAGGAAAUGUGGCGAAAGUAGUUGCAAGGAUCAUUGCUCUAGCACUUGAUCUGGAGGCUGAUUUUUUUUACAUGCCAGAAAUACUCAGCAAGCCUAUUCCGAUCUUGCGCUUGUUGCACUAUGAAGGUAGAUUUUAUUUCAAUGAACUACAAAAUAAAGCCGACAAUUCUUUCUUCUCAUCCUCUUGAUAUUCCUUUAGGUCUAAUCUCAGAUCCCUCUAAAGGGAUAUAUGGAGCUGGGGCACAUUCGGACUUUGGGUUUAUUACCUUGUUAGCAACAAAUGAUGUCCCGGGUCUCCAAGUAUGAAUAUUC